GGAUGAUGCUCCUGCUGGAGCUGUAGGUGUCUCCAGUGAUUUUGAUGUUCAGAAGAUGCCCAUCGAGGAAGCCACUGAAUUUUCGAAAGCGAAUGAGAGUGAGGCAGAAAUUGAAAACCCACGCAGAGGACAAAAAGUGUGCUGGUCGAAUGCGGAAAUUAGCGCUGUAAUGAAACAUUUUAAGGCACAUAUAAGCAAAGGGAAACUGGCCACACUGACUGAAUGCCAGCAGUGUAAGACAGCUGAAGAUCCUGUUUUGGCAAGGCGCAGUGCUCAAAACAUCAGAGAUUUUGUCAGAAAUCGUGGAAUUAGUUUAAAAAGGACAGCCCAAAUCAAGUAAAGUUACAUGUCUUAUUUGAUGUUGCGCUAUUUUGAUUAUUACUAUGCUUGUUUUUUUUCAUACUAUAGUAAGAAACUUAUGGCAACAGUAGUUUGUGAGCAAAAGGCAAUUCUGUUAGCAUUUCC